CGAAGCCGGAAUCGCUAGUAAUCGCAGAUCAGCAUGCUGCGGUGAAUACGUUCCCGGGUCUUGUACACACCGCCCGUCACACCAUGGGAGCCGGGAAUGCCCGAAGUCAGCGGCCCAACCGAAAGGGGGGAGCUGCCGAAGGCAGGCCUGGUGACUGGGGUGAAGUCGUAACAAGGUAUC
rnacentral:rRNA from 1 species